rnacentral:rRNA from 1 species
UACGUAGGGUUCAAGCGUUAUCCGGAAUUAUUGGGCGUAAAGAGCUCGUAGGCGGUUUGUCGCGUCUGCUGUGAAAACUGGAGGCUCAACCUCCAGCCUGCAGUGGGUACGGGCAGACUAGAGUGCGGUAGGGGAGAUUGGAAUUCCUGGUGUAGCGGUGGAAUGCGCAGAUAUCAGGAGGAACACCGAUGGCGAAGGCAGAUCUCUGGGCCGUAACUGACGCUGAGGAGCGAAAGCAUGGGGAGCGAACAGG